CCUACGGGUGGCAGCAGUGAGGAAUAUUGGUCAAUGGACGAGAGUCUGAACCAGCCAAGUAGCGUGAAGGAUGACUGCCCUACGGGUUGUAAACUUCUUUUAUAUGGGAAUAAAGUGUUCCACGUGUGGGAUUUUGUAUGUACCAUAUGAAUAAGGAUCGGCUAACUCCGUGCCAGCAGCCGCGGUAAUACGGAGGAUCCGAGCGUUAUCCGGAUUUAUUGGGUUUAAAGGGAGCGUAGGUGGAUUGUUAAGUCAGUUGUGAAAGUUUGCGGCUCAACCGUAAAAUUGCAGUUGAUACUGGCAGUCUUGAGUACAGUAGAGGUGGGCGGAAUUCGUGGUGUAGCGGUGAAAUGCUUAGAUAUCACGAAGAACUCCGAUUGCGAAGGCAGUUCACUGGACUGCAACUGACACUGAUGCUCGAAAGUGUGGGUAUCAAACAGGAUUAGAUACCCCAGUAGUC
rnacentral:rRNA from 1 species